AUUGACUGAAUCCUUGAUUCAAGUGUUACACUUGGAACACGCCCAUUCUUCCUGUAGAAAAGACCGGUAAAUAUCGCAUGGCACAUGACCUCAGAAAAAUAAAGGACAGACUGGUAACCACUACAGUACCUGUCCCAAACCCGUACACUACGUCUGACUAGUCUGACACCACAACAGCAAUGGUUCACUUGCAUUGAUUUGGCGAACGCAUUCUUUUGCCUGCCGCUACACGAAGACUUACGGGAUGUGUUCUAAUUCACGUAUGGAAACAGACAGCUACGGUAUACUCGGCUACCACAAGGGUUCACUCUUUCGUCAGGUAUCUUUAACCAAGUGUUGAAACAGGCAUUAACGGGGUGCUCCCUGCCAGAGGGCACAACAUUAAUCUAAUACGUGGACGACAUCCUCCUCACAGCCACUUCAGCGGAAUCCUGUUUGGAAGCAACAGACACCGUCCUACGCCGGUUGGCCAAAACAGGUUUUAAGUGUGGCAGCCUUGGCUCUACCGAGCACCGUGGCUAUUAUUAAGUGCAAAGGACACGAGAACUCCAACAUAAUGGUGGCAAAGGGAAACCAGGCAGCGGACCAACCUGCAAAACAGCCUGCAGGUUACCAAAUGGGCUCCAAAGGAAGCUCAGCAAAUCAGGGUACGAACUGACCACCGGGAGACAGUUCCCUGGACCCAGUGCCGGCCUGAAGCUUAGGCCCAACCCGGAAGCUCCACCAGGUGAGUAUGCAUGUCGUAUAACAAUCUACGAGCUCUUGUUUCAGAUUUUGCGGACCAGGUGCGAGACA
ensembl:lncRNA